ACCCUACACCACACGCGCCUCAGGCCCACUCCACUUCGGUGAACUCCGCCCGCUUUCCCGCCCCUCUACUCGUGCGACUUUCUUGACAUUGCAAGGGCGAUUUGCCGUCAUGCUGCGCCGCACUCAAGCUUCUCUCUUCCGACGCACGCCGGUGCGCCUCAGCGGCGGCGAGCUCUACCAUCCGCCCAAACUGGAGGACAUCCCGCCAUCCUCGGCCACGAAGGGCUUCUUCGGCGCCUACAACGGCGGCCUCGUCAUGCUGCGCUUUAUCGAUCUGAAGUGGAUGAUGAACCGCGCCGUCGAACUGGGCCGCGAGUAUUACAUCUCCGCCCCGACGCUGUACCUCUUUCUAUGGAUGUUCUGCUGGAAGGGCUUUGUGAUCAUGCGCUACGGCGAUGGCAACCCGCCGCGCCAUGUAGACUGGAACACCGAGGAGGCCGGUUAUCUGCCUCAGGGCUUCGAGCAGACGAAGGUCACCAAGGCGAUUUAAGCGGAGGACAGGAAGAAUACUGCGAGUGUCAAGACAGCGGCGCUGGCAGCAGUUACCAAGACUGCCACGCCGGUUGCGCCACCACAAAGCCGCGCGUGCAAGAAAUGGGAUGAGAUAAGGCGGGAGGCUUUUAGUGAUCGAUUUUUUUUCAUUUGGCAGCGGCAACGCGACGCUAUCGUGCGUGCCUGCGCAUGUGUGUGCCGCUCUCUCUCUCUGUGCGCAUCUCAAGAAGUGCAGCGGAGGACGCGAGGACAGGGCGGCAGACGUCGGCCGCACGCGUGAGGAUGUCUUGUCUGUGAGAGCCACGGCGGCUUAUGCACCUCCGAGUGUUUCAGCGCUGACCACACACCCCUCCUCCUCUCUUUGUCGUGCGCCUACCGCUGUUAGACACAAGUCGAAGCCGUCACGUAUCUUCUCCGCAUCCACUUCACAUCCCCCUCAAGCUCCCGUAUCCGUGCUUGUGCAUUCGUCUUUAUGCGCGAGAGGUGCUCCCUGUGAUAGUUCGGAUUACUUGUUUCUGUUUUGUAGUUAGGAAAUGUGAUGCACACACACACACGCACAUGCAACACACACCCUUUUCGUACUUGUGCCCCACCCGUCUCUUCGUCUUUUGCCCGCGCCCUCAACUCGCCCUCCCCCUCCCCCUUUUACUAUGGCGUAAUCUCUGGCCCUCCCCGUUGGUGUGUCGAGACGGUUCUACCUGCACGCGCGGCCGCUUCGCCCUCCUCCACACCCUGACUAACUCUCCUUGCAUCUCCUCCUGCCUGUCCUCACCCCCCUGUGCCUCGUGCGCAGAUUCGCGUGGCAACACGCCCGAUUACGGAUCUCCAUUGAGCGAAAGCGGGGCGAGCCGGGAAGCGGAGGAGCAGCGUCAAGAGCGGCCACAUGAGCGUUGACGAGGGAUAAUGGAGGCGGAGGCGAAGAAGGAUCGGGCAGACGUGUGUGUCUCGUUCUCUCACUGCGUGAAUGCGUAUCUUGCGUGCUUGCAUCUCGUACGUGUUCGCGUGAUUUUAAGGACGACUUUCCGUCCCCCCGCCACACAGAAGGAAAGGCAAAUAUCAACGUGGACGAAGGGACCACGCUACAGCGUGCAUAGUGGUCGGAUGACGAGAACGCUCCUCGACAGUGGAGGGCCAGGUAUCCACGAAGAAGCGCCGCAGUGCCGCUGAUGUGUGUGUGUGUGUAUGUGCGCCGCUCUUCUCUCCACCUUUCCGAUCUGCGCACAGCGUGAAGCAGUGCCGUCACCCAGAUACUGAG
rnacentral:misc_RNA from 1 species